UCAAGUCGAACGAGAAAGCACUUCGGUGUGAGUAGAGUGGCGCACGGGUGAGUAACGCGUAGGUGAUAUGCCUUUUAGUGGGGGACAACAUCGUGAAAACGGUGCUAAUACCGCAUAAGCUUGAGGAAAUUGAAAAACUUAAGGAAAGGGGGCCUUUGGCUCUCGCUAGAAGAUUGGCCUGCGUGACAUUAGCUUGAUGGUGGGGUAAUGGCCUACCAUGGCGACGAUGUCUAACUGGUCUGAGAGGAUGAUC
rnacentral:rRNA from 1 species